rnacentral:rRNA from 1 species
CCUCGAAUCAGGUAGGACUACCC